rnacentral:rRNA from 1 species
AGCGAACGCUGGCGGCAGGCCUAACACAUGCAAGUCGAACGAAGUCUUCGGACUUAGUGGCGGACGGGUGAGUAACACGUGGGAACGUGCCUUUAGGUUCGGAAUAACUCAGGGAAACUUGUGCUAAUACCGAAUGUGCCCUUCGGGGGAAAGAUUUAUCGCCUUUAGAGCGGCCCGCGUCUGAUUAGCUAGUUGGUGAGGUAAAGGCUCACCAAGGCUACGAUCAGUAGCUGGUCUGAGAGGAUGACCAGCCACAUUGGGACUGAGACACGGCCCAAACUCCUACCGGAGGCAGCAGUGGGGAAUCUUGCGCAAUGGGCGAAAGCCUGACGCAGCCAUGCCGCGUUGAUGAUGAAGGUCUUAGGAUUGUAAAAUCCUUUCACCGGUGAAGAUAAUGACUGUAGCCGGAGAAGAAGCCCCGGCUAACUUCGUGCCAGCAGCCGCGGUAAGAC